UACGUAGGGGGGCAAGCGUUGUCCGGAAUCAUUGGGCGUAAAGCGCGUGUAGGCGGUCCGGUAAGUCCGCUGUGAAAGUCCAGGGCUCAACCCUGGGGAUGCCGGUGGAUACUGGUCGGGGCUAGAGUACGGAAGAGGCGAGUGGAAUUCCCGGUGUAGCGGUGAAAUUCGUAGAUAUUCGCAAGAACACCGGUGGCGAAGGCGGCCCACUGGAUCGGUACUGACGCUGAGGUGCGAAAGCGUGGGGAG
rnacentral:rRNA from 1 species